rnacentral:rRNA from 1 species
AUCAGUGGUCAUAGCAAGAGGAAUCACCUGAUACCAUUCCGAACUCAGUAGUUAAGCCUCUUUACUUAGAAAAUAGUAGAAAGGUGAAAAUAGGGAACCGCUGUUU